rnacentral:rRNA from 1 species
GUACCUACGGGGGGCAGCAGUGAGGAAUAUUGGUCAAUGGGCUUACGCCUGAACCAGCCAAGUCGCGUGAGGGAAGACUGCCCUAUGGGUUGUAAACCUCUUUUGUCAGGGAGCAACGCCGGCUACGUGUAGCCGGACUGAGAGUACCUGAAGAAAAAGCAUCGGCUAACUCCGUGCCAGCAGCCGCGGUAAUACGGAGGAUGCGAGCGUUAUCCGGAUUUACUGGGCGUAAAGGGAGCGUAGGCGGCCUGCCAAGUCUGAUGUGAAAUACCGGGGCUCAACCCCGGGGCUGCAUUGGAAACUGG